rnacentral:rRNA from 1 species
UCCACGCCGUAAACGUUGUCAACUUGAUGUGGGGGGAUUUAGUCCCCUCCGUAUCGAAGCUAACGCGAUAAGUUGACCGCCUGGGGACUACGGCCGCAAGGCUAAAACUCAAAGGAAUUGACGGGGGCCCGCACAAGCGGUGGAGCAUGUGGCUUAAUUCGAGGCAACGCGAAGAACCUUACCUGGGCUUGAAAUAUAGUUGACAGUCCGUGAAAGCGGAUCUCCCUUCGGGGCAAUUAUACAGGUGCUGCAUGGCUGUCGUCAGCUCGUGCUGUGAAGUGUUCGGUUAAGUCCGGCAACGAGCGCAACCCGUAUCUUCAGU